UGGGGAAUUGUUCGCAAUGGGCGCAAGCCUGACGACGCAACGCCGCGUGGAGGAUGAAGACCUUCGGGUCGUAAACUCCUUUCGAUCGAGACGAAUAACCCUUGGGCUAAUCACCAGGGGAAUGACGGUACCGAGAGAAGAAGCCCCGGCUAACUCCGUGCCAGCAGCCGCGGUAAUACAGAGGGUGCAAGCGUUAAUCGGAAUGACUGGGCGUAAAGGGCGCGUAGGUGGAUGCGUGAGUAAAUUGUGAAAGACCCGGGCUUAACCUGGGAAGGUCAAUUUAAACGGCGUAUCUAGAGUGGAGUAGAGGGAAGUAGAAUUUCCGGUGUAGCGGUGAAAUGCGUAGAUAUCGGAAGGAAUACCGGUGGCGAAGGCGUCUUCCUGGACUCUAACUGACACUGAGGCGCGAAAGCAUGGGGAUCAAACAGGAUUAGAUACCCCCGUAGUCCCUGAGCGGGCUGGCAAGGCGCAU
rnacentral:rRNA from 1 species